UGAGGAAUAUUGGUCAAUGGGCGCAAGCCUGAACCAGCCAUGCCGCGUGAAGGAAGACGGCCCUAUGGGUUGUAAACUUCUUUUGUACGGGACGAAACUAUGUUACGUGUAAUGUACUGACGGUACCGUAUGAAUAAGCAACGGCUAACUCCGUGCCAGCAGCCGCGGUAAUACGGAGGUUGCAAGCGUUAUCCGGAUUUAUUGGGUUUAAAGGGUGCGUAGGCGGAAUGAUAAGUCAGUGGUGAAAGCCUGCAGCUUAACUGUAGAAUUGCCAUUGAUACUGUCGUCCUUGAGUCUAGUUGAGGUGGGCGGAAUGUGUAAUGUAGCGGUGAAAUGCUUAGAUAUUACACAGAACACCAAUUGCGUAGGCAGCUCACUAAACUAUAACUGACGCUGAGGCACGAAAGCGUGGGGAGCAAACA
rnacentral:rRNA from 1 species